rnacentral:lncRNA from 1 species
AGCCGCCGCCAGGCCAACCCCCCAUCCCUUCCAUUUUUAUUUUUAUUUUUAUUUUUUUUCUUUUCUUUUCCUCUCGACACCAGCCAAACAGCCACCCUCCCCUGGUUUGAAAUUUGUUUUUUCUCCGACAGACAGCCGGCCAAAGUUUCUUCUCCACAGAGAGCCGGCCAAAGUUUUUUUUUUCUUUCAUAGAGCAGCCGUUCCCCUCACACAGCCCUCAUUUUCUCCUUUCUUCUUCUCCAGCUUGCGCCAGUUCCCUCUGCCCUCAUUUCCUUCAACAGCCUGCCUAUUUUCUUCCUCCUUCGGUUUCAAUCAACGCCGGUUUUCUUCUCAGCCGACAACACAGACCAGCAGCCGCCAGCUCCACCGUAGCUUCAACAGCCCGAGCUCAGCCUCACACCGGAUCAGACCUCCCUUCCCUCAGCCACCGGGCAACAGUCGACCCAUCGCCCUCCACAGCAGCGACGGCCACUACCCCUUUCUCCCUCUCCGGGUCAACGAACAGGCCCGACCACAGCAGCAAGCAACCACCGAUCUCCUCCUUCAAUCGACCACCGCCACCUGAAACAGAGAAGGAUGAGAAAGCAAAGGAAGAGAAAUUGAGAAGAAGAGAAGGAGAAGCAGAUCUGAUAAAAAGAAGAAAAAACCGAAAAAGAUCUCUAAAAAAAACAAAGGAAAUAAAAUCUAAAAUCAACUGUUUGCGGCCUUUAUUUUGCGUUCUUGUGGCAGGUGAAGGUGGCGGUGACCACCGGCGAAGAAGAAGGGAGGAUCUCCCCUGCUUUUUUUUUUGGGCGGCGCGUGAACCCACGCGCCGCCAGUGACGGUAGCGCGUGGAGCAACGCGCCGCCCGUGUUCAGCUGCCCAGAAUGUGUUUCCGACACUGUUCCUGUGAUGCCUUAUAAAUUCCAGAUUAUGUUGGGGCUGUUUUUUUUGUUGUAAAUUUUAAAUUAAUUAAUGUAAUUUUUAUUUUGUUGUUUGAAUUUGUAUUGUAUAAAUGUGAUGUAAAAAAAAAAAAAAGAAGAAGAAAAGAAAAGAAAAUAAUAAUAACAAAGGGGAUGUGUGUGUUGGUGUAUUUUUAUUUAUUUAUUUUGAAUUUGUAUUUGUAUUUUGUGGAUGUAAAAGAAAAGGAAAAGAAAAGAAAAAGAAAAGAAAAGAAUAAAAAUAGUGAAAGUGUAUGUGUGUGUUUGUAUUUUGUUUUAUUUAUUUGUAUGAUAAAAUUGCAAAUAUAUUAAAGAAGAAUUUAAUAUUUUGAUUGGAUCACGGUUAAGAAUUAUUAACUUAUACGUAAGUGAUAUUUCUAAUUUCCGAUGAAAAAACAAUUAUUAAAACUUCUUUAACACGUGUAUGUGUGUGUUUGUAUUUUGUUUUAUUCAUUUGUAUAUAUUUUUAAGGAUGAGAUUGCAAAUACAUUAAAGAAGAAUUUAAUAUUUUGAUCGGAUCACGGUUAAGAAUUAUUAACUUAUACGUAAGUGAUAUUUCUAAUUUCCGAAGAAAAGACAAUUAUUAAAACUUCUUUAACACGUCAAAGCCACGAAGCAGCUUACCUCAGGUAGGGUGCGUUAGGGGUGCUAAUACCUUCCCUAACCACAACCAGUCCCUUACCCGCGAAUCUCUGACAAGACCAGUACAUCCGGUUUCCUAGUAGCCCGCAAUCAAUUACUAGGUGGCGACUCCAACGAACCAAUUCAAAGCAAACGCAACAAACGAGAUUUAAAUCGCCAGCCGAUGCCGCGCGCUGAUUUUUUUUGGGGUGCGACAGAAUGGCGACUCCACUGGGGAAGGUAUUUUUUCGAUUAUUGGACUAAGCUUUGUGUAUUUGAUGUGUUUAAGUUUUUGCAUUUUUAUCUUUUUGGUUAAUAUUUAUUUCCAUGCAUUUUAUAGAAUUGUCUCAUGCAUCACUUGUAUUUAUUUUUAAAAGCACACACAAGCUUCUAGGUUAGGUGGGGAACUAGCGAUCUGCCCUAAGACUAUUGGUCAGGGUUCAGAUGCGUGAAACACCCAACUCAUAUCUGAGUGCCUGCUUGGUAAUGGUGGGUAUACGUACCUUAACCAUUCCUUGCAACGCCCCCAAACUGUCUUUACGAAGAACGUCACUGGGCAGAUAUGAGACCCUUUUGAGACCAGAUAGAAAACUUACCCAUGUUCACAUAAUGAAUAGAACCUGUCCUUAGGUUGUAUGUGCUAUCGUUUUUUGCAUAAGGGCAAACCCUUCUUGAAGCAUCUUGAACUCAAGACUUGUGGGUGACACAUUGGCCGUUGCUCCGAAAAUUUUCAUUGUAGAGUUUGGGCAAAAAUCACGAUUCUUGUCCAUCAUACAAGAGUUACGACCAUAUUGUCACCUCUCGAAGGGAGAGUUCAUCAUAUAGAUUACAUGUUCAUACAUUUAUCAUGCAUGAACCGGGUCGAAACGUAGGUCCCUUGUACAAGUUGUGCUGCACGAGAUUGAAGAAAAAUAAUGGAAGUGAACAAAGGAGUCAGAUAUAGGUUCAGUAUCAGAUUAAGGUUGAGAGCAUCAAGAGUGAAGUAGCGGGACUCAGAUCUGCUCGAACAAGUGUUGAGCAUCAAAUGAAAAGAGAAUGUCUGCACAGUUUUCUGUGGGAACACUGCUUGUUCACGUCCAAUUGAAGCUGUACCUUUCCUUUUCAGUCAUGAACAACAGCAACAACGCCUUCAGUCAUCAACUAAUGACAACUCUGAUUCCUGUCCAGUUGCGCUGUUAAGUAUUCAUCGCCUCCACAUCAUCUAAUGGAACCAAACGACUACUAACCUCCUGUUCAUGGUGCAUUAGUCUGCUUUGAAGUUACCCCAAUUAUGAGCUCAAUUCCAGUUCAGCAGCACAAGAUGUUGGUCUAAAAAAAAAAACCAUGAUCAGACACUGAAUUUCAACGCGGUAGAGCUCUCUCUGUAGAGAUUUAUUUGUGGAUCUGUCAAUGGAAAUGCAAAAGGGAAUGUAUUAAUUUCAUAUGCUUUGAAACUAUUUCCCACCAGUGGCACCAGCAAAACAUUGUAGUAGACAGAAGAGUCAGACCUGGUCUGAUAAUAUUAGUAGUUGUCAAACUUCAAUGUGGCAGAGCUCUCUCUAUAAAAAUCCAUUUAUGGCUCUGCAAAUUGGGAAUGCAAGAGGGGAUUUACUAAUUGCAUAUGCUACAAAUAUUUCUCUCAUCAGUUUCAGCACGAAGAAACUAUAGCAGGUUGAAGAGCCAGACUUGGCUUGAAAAAUAUGAGCAGACAUCAAACUUCAACGUAGCAGAGCUCUCCCAACAGGAAUCUGUUUGUGGAUCCGCAAGUGGGAAAUCCAAGAAGGAAUACAGUAGUUUCAGAUCAUUUAUGAUUUUUCUCCAACAAUGUCAGUAUUAAAAUGCAAAAGUAGAGAGAAGAGACAUGCCUAGACUGAAAAACAUGAAGAAGACUGAAACUUCAACAGAGCAGAACUUCCUCUAUAGGUGUUGUUUGCUGCAUCUCAGAAGAAUCGAAGAGGAAAAGAGAGAUUCAUGUUCAUCAUUUUCUCAUGAAGACAUGGUGAUUCCACAUGUCGGUAGUGGCGAUACUACAAGUUUCUGGGCGCUGCCAAGAUUACCAAGCUGUUGAAAGUUUUCUAACAAUCCUCAACCAACCACAACAACAUUGGAAGAUUGAAAUAAUGUUGUAGGAUUUGCCGAAGAAUUGAACAAGCUAUGAAGAGGAAAGAUUGAAGGAUCUGCCAUGGAUUCUAGAACAAUGAUGAGAGGUGAAUCAGGAGAUGACUUUGACGGUGUGAGCCCUUAAUUAUGUGGUAUAGCCAGGUCUCACGGUAGCAUCAAUUGCUCAAAUAUCUUUGCCAAGAUGGGACAUUCCUCUGCCAUUUAAGUUUGUCGACCAGCAUCUGCCAGAUUCCAGAAUUUUGCUUGACUCCGACAAAUCCCAUGCAACCACCAUUUCUAGGUGGUUAAUCCAAAGAGAUGUGAUGUCAUGGUGGGGUCCUCAACCAUUUCAAUUGAACAAUUUCAAGAAUUGCAAGAAGGAGUCUGAAAGUUGGUGAGCAAGAGACAAGUGGAGUCGUUGAAGAGGGUGUCAUGGCUAUAUUGUUCCCCGAACAUCUUCAGAAUGACAUGUGAUCGAAAAUGCUUGCAAACACAGAUAUUGCCAGAAAAGCUGAUUCAGAAUGGUGAUGAACAGUCAAUCAUAUUGUUAUGGAUUUCUGCAUUUUGUUUUGGGAUCACAUCUCAUCCUUCAACGAAACAUGCCUGGCUUUUGUCUCUUUGUUGUUUUGAAAUCAGCAGAUGUUUAGCAUUUUUUUUCUGACAAAAUAUUUUGAACAAACUCCAACAUGCGAUAAAGGUUAAUCAAUCCGGAAGAUUAGAAGUGUUUUGAUUACAGAAAUGACUCCAUGCUUGAAAAUGACAUGAGGUGACCAAACAAUUUUGAACUCAUACCUCCUGAAACUGAACCACACAUCAUAUAGCUAAGUUUUAACAGUAUGCAUAAUGACAUGUAGUGGAUUCGGUAGUUAUGGACUCGUGAAUCAUGAUUCUUACAAGUCCCAAUCAUUACACUAGAUGAGGUCAAAAUUUAUCGGUUCUAACCGACCUUGCUUGAAAUGAGAAAAGGCCAUCUUUGAUAUCCCUUCACUUUCUAAAGAUUAUAUCCCUUGCAGUCCCAUUUUGAGCCUGGUAAAAUAUUUUCUUUCAAAAAAAGAAACCCUGACUAGGAUCACACCCCACAUGGGGGCAAAUGAGAGAUAUUUUGGAGACAUUGAUAUAAUUAAUGGAUAAAGGGGAAGGCUUAGAACAAAGGUCCAAUGAUUGAGAGAGAGCUAAAAGAAAACACAUAGACUGGGGGCAUAUAAGAAAAUUUUGAGGAAGGCUAUGAAAAAAAAAAAAAAGAGAAUGAAAAAAGGAAGUUGAAAUUGCCUCACUUAAACAAGUCAAAGAUAAAGGAAGGAGAACGCCUAUCAAGUCUAUGAAGAGCAAAAGAAAUUUCAAUCAAGGAAAGGCACAACAAAAGUCAAUACCAGAAAAAGACUAAGCUAUAAGCGUUGACUUUUGGUAUCCAUUAUAAAACCUACGAUGUUAUCAGAUGAUUAAGGUUGGUUAUUCAUCAAAGAAAGUUGGAUUUGCAUUAUGACUUAUGUUAAGAAAUCUAUUUGAGGUUAACAAGGUUAUAUGUCGUCUCUUACAAGACAACAAUAGAAAAGAAUGAUGAAUAGUUAUGUUGAUCCUAGGUUGAAACCCUCAAACACCUUUUGAGCCUUUGAAAUUCCUUUCUUUCAUAGCCAUGAACCAUAGCCUGCAUUACGUGCUUUUUAAAAGCCCUUUUUAAUCAAGCAAGCAAUUUGAACCGAUAAAUGGCGCUCUCAAAACUUGAAGAGUUUUCCAUAAGGGUCGUGACUUCAUGAAUUAAGCUAUUGGUUAUUAUGCAUGCUGAUAAAACAAGUUAUAAGAAGAGAAACAACCUUUCUUGAUAAAGCCUGUUUUGACUUGAGCAUUUGUUUUUUGAAAUUCACAAAGGUCACCUCAUCAUAGACUAUCAAAUGAUAUACCCAAUAUCAAGGAUUCAAAUUGAUACAAAGAACCAUGGAAAAAGCCAUUUUUAAUCCUACAUUGGGUCAAUUUCUGUUUUCAAAAUGCAUGACAAUCAAAGGACUAUAUAUUUCGAAUAAAAUGUGUUGGGCUUUGAUCAAAAAGCUUGAUUUUCAAAAGAUUUUCAAAAAGACAUCUCUGAUUUCAUUUCAACAAACUAGACUUUGAAUAGACAUGAUCUUUGAAAUAUGAGAGUUGAUUCCAGAACAAGGAAGAUUAUCAAACACAGAAAGAACAUUGAUUGAGUAUGCAAAAUCGUUGAUAGAAAUGACAUUGACAUUGAAGUCCUCGACACUCCUUGAAAAGUUGAGCAGCUGGGGGCAAUACAGUAGACCUUGAAAAGGAAAAACAAGCAGUGCUCAGAUCAGCUAUGAGGCAAUGUUAAAUGAUGAAUCAGUGAACUGAAGACAAUGAUGUUCAAAGACAGAUAAUCAAUGAACGAGCACAUUCAGAUCAUACUGGGGGCAAUGUCAUUCCAAAAUGGCCCAUGCUUUAGUGAACCUGUCGGCAAUGGAGAAACAAGGAUGUACUGAAGGACACUUUCCUAUCAUCAUCUUUUGAAACAUGGCUAGCAUCGAUGAGAUACACAGAUGAAUGUAAUUGAAUGGUGAAAAGAUGCACACCACCAAGACUGACUGUGGAACAAUGCUGCACUUAAAGGACAAUCUCAUAUUGUCAUUCUUUGAAACAUGGUUAUAGACAGAUGUUAUCACACAACUGCACUGAAUGAAUGUCGGAAAGGACCCACCUCGAAGACUGAUUGUGGGACAACUUGUUCUGAAGCCAGAUGAGCGCUUCACCGCAUGAGUAUGAGUGAUAAAAGCAGCAUCAUUGAUGAGGCUGAGACAUUUCUUUUCACAAUCUGAUUAGAAGAGUUGAAAGGAAUCUAUGAGAAGAGCACUGAGCAUACAACCAUGAGCCUUUGUACUGCAAGCUAUGAGAUGCAUGUCUAGAUGACUGAUUGAGUUCAAGGAGGCUGAUGAUAACAUGUACUUGAAGAGUACUGUUUCAACUAGAGGCAAGUUCAUGACUGAUUAACAAUCUUGAUGGGUGUUGGCAUGAUGCCACAAUCAAUCAGAGGAUAAUUCUCAGAAGAAGCCAGGAGAGAAAAUCCUUCAUGAUGAAUCAAGCAGUACCACACUUGGGGGCAGGGUCAAGCUUGAUGAACGAUGCAAGCAGUAAUUGUCGAAGACAGCCCGGGAUGGGCACUGCAUUUACAGUUGAGUGGAUGGCUAGCACAUGAAUGAGCUAAUGCAUCGGAAGAACAAAGAAAGCUUUGGGAUGCAAACAAGGGCACCCUAUGACGAUGGAGCAUCAAAGAGGGGGGACCUAUAUUUCAAAUCAGGUAAGGAUGCAUGCAUAUCAUCUAACCUCCAAAAAAAAAAAAAAAAAAAAAAACAAAACACACCAUUUGCACAUAUUUUUCAAUUGUUACAGGAAAAUCCCAAAGAAAUGAAGAGAUCAACCUUGCGAUCGGGAAGCCUCGAGUUUUCAACCCUUGCAGUCAGGAAACACCGAGUUUUCAAACCCUAUGAUCGAGAAUUAUCAGGAAGCACCAAGUUUUCCAGCCCUUUUCUUCUGUCAUCCCUUCAGAACUUCGCAGGUAAGUCCUAUUUUUCACACUUGUCAUAUUACAUUUUUUCCAUCUGGGUAGGUCGCCCAUCAUAAUAAGACCGUUUUUCACAUUUUUUCCAUCUGGGUAGGUCACCCAUUACAAUGAGACCACACUUCAUAUUUUUUCCACAUGGGUAGGUCACCCAUUACAAUGAGACCGCACUUCACAUUUUUUCCAUCUGGGUAGGUCACCCAUACAAUGAGACCAUCAUUUUUUCGGGUUCGUCACCCAUACAAUGAGACCAUCAUAUUUCUAGGGUUCGUCACCCGUACAAUGAGACCAGCAUUUCUCUAGGGUUCGUCACCCGUACAAUGAGACCAGCACUAGGGUUCGUCACCCGUACAAUGAGACCAGCACUAGGGUUCGUCACCCGUACAAUGAGACCAACAGCACUAGGGUUCGUCACCCGUACAAUGAGACCAGCACUAGGGUUCGUCACCCGUACAAUGAGACCAACAGCACUAGGGUUCGUCACCCGUACAAUGAGACCAGUAUUUUUCGAGGGUUAGUCACCCGUACAAUGAGACCAGAAUGAGGUCGCCAGAUGGGAUCUCAUGUAACUUUGGUUAAAGGGAAUCGCCAGAUGGGAUUUCAGGUUAACCGAGUUACACAUAUUUUCGUUCCAGUUGAAUGAGGUCGCCAGAUGGGAUCUCAAGUAAACCCAAUGUGUGGGCAGGUCGCCCGUGAAAAUAGACUAUUGGGAGAGUGUGGGUCGGUCGCCCGUGAAAAUGGACUUGAGUGAGUAUGUGUGGGCAGGUCGCCCGUGAAAAUAGAUCAGUGUGAGUGUGUGGGCAGGUCGCCCAAGAUAAUGAAAUCAUCUUCCUUUUGUUUUCUUUACAAAGCUUACUAUGCAAAAUUUUGAGGAUUUUCGCUUCGUAAGCAUUGUAAAGAGGGGGCAUCUGUUGCUACCCAAUUUUUGACCCAUGUUUUUUAUAUAUUUUCAAAAAAUCCAAAAAUUGAGAAAAACAAAGAAAAUCCAAAAAAUAUGUUUUUUAAUAUAUUUUCGUCAUUUUAGCAUUUUCAACGUCAUCUAAAAAAGAAUUUAAUUUGUUAAAAUAUUUUCAAACGCGUUCGACUUUUCGCGUCAUUUUUAAAAUCAUUGAUUUUCCGCAUUUAAGUCGACGUUGAUAUUGCUCGUUUUUAAAAAAAAAUACAAAAAAAUAAGAAAAAUCAAAAUUUACAAAAAAGAAAGAAGUUGAGGGACCAAGUUGAAAGACCUAGCAACAUUUUUGCCUAUAAAUACCAUGCUAAACUGACUUUUAGGGGGGGGGGGCAAUUUUGAUAUUUAAGGGAGAGACAACACAGAAACAAAACCUAAAUCCAUCUCUUCUCAGCCGCCGCCAGGCCAACCCCCAUCCCUUCCAUUUUUAUUUUUAUUUUUAUUUUUUUUCUUUUUUCCUCUCGACACCAGCCAAACAGCCACCCUCCCCUGGUUUGAAAUUUGUUUUUUCUCCGACAGACAGCCGGCCAAAGUUUCUUCUCCACAGAGAGCCGGCCAAGUUUUUUUUUUCUUUCAUAGAGCAGCCGUUCCCCUCACACAGCCCUCAUUUUCUCCUUUCUUCUUCUCCAGCUUGCGCCAGUUCCCUCUGCCCUCAUUUCCUUCAACAGCCUGCCUAUUUUCUUCCUCCUUCGGUUUCAAUCAACGCCGAUUUUCUUCUCAGCCGACAACACAGACCAGCAGCCGCCAGCUCCACCGUAGCUUCAACAGCCCGAGCUCAGCCUCACACCGGAUCAGACCUCCCUUCCCUCAGCCACCGGGCAACAGUCGACCCAUCGCCCUCCACAGCAGCGACGGCCACUACCCCUUUCUCCCUCUCCGGGUCAACGAACAGGCCGACCACAGCAGCAAGCAACACCGAUCUCCUCUUUCAAUCGACCACCGCCACCUGAAACAGAGAAGGAUGAGAAAGCAAAGGAAGAGAAAUUGAGAAGAAGAGAAGGAGAAGCAGAUCUGAUAAAAAGAAGAAAAAAACCGAAAAAGAUCUCUAAAAAAAACAAAGGAAAUAAAAUCUAAAAUCAACUGUUUGCGGCCUU